rnacentral:lncRNA from 1 species
AGAAGGUACUUGAUUUUUAGCUUUAACUUGUUGACAAAUCAAACAAUUGAUACAAAUUCAGAAAUGUCUGGUUUCAUUCCCAACCACCAAUAUAGUUGUUUCAAAUCAUUAUACAUUUUAGUACUUCCCAGGUGAACAGAUAAACAACCACUGUGUGCUUUGUGCAAAAUUUUCUAAAUGAGUUUUAAAUUCUUUGGUACACAAAUUUUGUUUCAGAACAUCAAAAAAUCAUCGGCUC